UCGAACCGAUCAACGCCGCUUUGCAGCCUGUAUCCUGCGGAUAACAAAUAUAUCCGAUCGACGCCUUUCGGGCCAUCACUUCCGAGAGAUUUCCAGACGAAGACCCGGCGACAGGUCGUCUCCUUCGCGGUGUCGGCAGAAUUUUUUUGGAGACGAAGCUACUUGCUUCUGUGACGAUGACAUCGGACCUCUGGCUUCUAUGCUUUAAAAAGGUUGUCAGGAUGAAGUUUUUGGGACACUCCUUUGAACAGGUCCGAAUGAGCGGGGAUCUUCCUGGGGAACCCGGGAGGCCAUUGGGGUGACUGACUUCGCUAGGCGCAAUCGGGGACGGGUCUGCCGUCUUUUCCGGGUGGAGGCUCCCCUUUUGGGCGUCCGGGAGAGGCACUCCGCCUUCGUGCCUACACACAGGUCGGGUCGGAAGAGCUCGGCCCGACCCCUCCGACGAUCAAGUUAGUGAAUAGUCAUAGGGGGUUUUUGUUGUCUCCUCCUCCUUUUCCUCGGAGCGCGAGGGUUUUUAUAGUGAAGGUUAUCGUUGUCUGAUGUGCCAGCUUGCAGGGAGCAGGAUCGUACUCCUGAUAAUGUCUGACAUCGACGUUGGCGUAGCGUGAAGGACCGAACCUGAGCAGGAUGUUAAUGUGCCUCAGUCGGCAUUUCGAUCCGUGUUGACCAGGUGCUGUCAGGUUAACAGAGGCGCGAGGCGUCAUCUGGGGCAGCUGACGUCAACCCGAGUCUUAUCGCCAUUAUUGUCCUCAUCAGAUAGCAAAGUCUCGAGGUAAAUAUGCUAAUCCUCCGGUAAUUUACAGGGAUAUCAAGUUGGCCAAUAUGAUUUAAAUGCAAAAGUUGCGGAUUAUAGUCUCUCAAAAAGUUGGUGACAAAAUUAGUACUCACUGCCGGUCAUCAUCACGCAUGAUUCGGCUCCUUAAACAUUUUUGGGAGAUGCUAUUUUGUCAAUUGCUUUUUUCUUUGUAAUUGUUUGUACAAGAAACUAGUUCCAAUCUCAUCAACUAUUUUACAUGGCAAUUUGUUACUUGGGCAUUUUGAUAACUUGUUAUCUUGGUGUCAA